GAUGAAGAACGUAGCGAAAUGCGAUAAGUAAUGCGAAUUGCAGAUUUCAGUGAGUCAUCGAAUCUUUGAACGCACAUUGCGCCCCCCGGCAUUCCGGGGAGCAUGCCUGUUCGAGCGUCUCUUGGAAUACCCCUCACGCCGGCGGAGGCGUGGUCAUGGCGGCGGUGGCGUGCCCCGAGAGGGAGGCCACCGCGCUGGAAUCCAUGGGCGGACGCCUGCCGCGUGGCCGAGCGUGAUAAGACGCACUGGCGCUCGCGCGCGGCGAGGCUGCCGGCCCUGGCCCGCUCGUCGGGCGGGGACAGCAACACUUGGGAACUCCUCGAAUCAGGUAGGGAUACCCGCUGAACUUAAGCAUAUCAAUAAGCGGAGGA
rnacentral:misc_RNA from 1 species